rnacentral:rRNA from 1 species
UACGAAGGGAGCUAGCGUUGUUCGGAAUCACUGGGCGUAAAGCGCACGUAGGCGGAUGUGUCAGUCAGGGGUGAAAUCCCGGAGCUCAACUUCGGAACUGCCUUUGAUACAGCACGUCUUGAGUCCGAUAGAGGUGGGUGGAAUUCCUAGUGUAGAGGUGAAAUUCGUAGAUAUUAGGAAGAACACCGGUGGCGAAGGCGGCCCACUGGAUCGGUACUGACGCUGAGGUGCGAAAGCAUGGGGAGCGAACAGG